GGAGGAAAGAGCUGCUCCUUUGUAGUGUGUGUGUGAGGGGUACUUUAACUAAGGAACAUAGGCGAGGACACACUGUAUAAACCUACAGUAUGAGCAGAACCACCUUCUUUGAGCGGAACAUCAGAAGAACUCGGAACAUCAGAAGAAUCACCGUAAUGUAUA